GGGGUUGUCAACUCCGUAUCACCCUCAGUCAAAUAGUUUGGUUGAGAGAGCCAUUGGUGUUGUCAAGAACCUCCUUAAAAAAUCGAUAUUGUUUAUUGAAGAGCUACUAUUUGGAUUGUUACCUAAUUCCAAGAAUAAGUUGUGUCUCUCACAAAGGAAAUUAUUGCCUACUAUGAAAGUCUGGGUCCGAUGUUACAGACGGGAAAACCAAAGUGGGCUCUAGGAACUCUAGUUAAAGCAUUGAAAGCAACUAUAUGGUUUGUCAAAUGUCAAGAUUAUGUGAGGAAAAUACACUUCAAUCUACUCCGCCCUCGAAGGUUGUCUUGAUUGGGUACUAAUGUAAUGUAUUUUAUUUAGGUUACCCUGUUUAGAUAAGUGGAAUAUUAUCCCGCUUUUAGAUAUUUCUUGUUUUUAUAAAUGUACUUAAUAUUAUCCUUUUUUAUACGUACGUAAUCCUUUUAUCGGUUAGUACCGAAUUGCUUUUAUCUCGAGAAUAAACCUACUUCUAAAUACUC
rnacentral:lncRNA from 1 species